GCCUUGCUCAGUGGGUUAAGGAUCCAGCUGUGAGCUGUGGUGUACAUAGGUCAUGGAUGUGGCUUGGAUCUGGCAUUGCUGUGGCUGUGGUGUAGGCCGGCAGCUACAGUUCCGAUUUGACUCCUAGCCUGGGAAUCUCCAUGUGCCACGGAUGCGGCCCUAAAAAGACAAAGAAAGAAAGAAAGAAAGGAGGAAGGAAGGAAGGAACUAUUAAAGAUGGAUGUUUUCAGCUGAGUGGACCAAGCCUUGGAGCCUGCACCUGACUCGGAGGUGGAGCCUGGAAGGAGAAACUGCCGCCUCUGACGCCAGGGCUGCAGCGCUGGGCAGCGGACCCGCAGAAAGGGAUGGGGGAAUGGCGGUGCCCCAACAGAAAAAGAAGGACCGGCACACAGCAGUGGGGCGGGGACCACGCCCUGCAUCCCGCUCAGCUGUUUCCAGGUUGCCCCACAAUCCUGGACCCAGUGGAGCGAGCAGGCUCUGCUUGGAGGUGGGGAGUGGGGGAUGGGUCUAGGACUCGGCCCGCCUGUACAGGGUCACACAGAGACAAAGCCAGGUUUUGGCUCCCAGGUGGGUGCUCUUUGCCUCCUGCUUGGCUGCUGAGGACCAGCCCUGCCGUUGGGGGGCGCUCCCUCUGCAGAUCCGCGCCAGGCCUGUGCUCCACCCGGGAACCACACCUCCCACCUGACUCCCAGCACUCCAGGUGCCAACCACACCCAGCCGCUUUCUAAAUCACUCCAUCUCCUAUUCCUGGCUUUCUUUCUCAUCCUCUCAUACCCAGCGGUUUUUACUCGCCCUUGCAACACCACUUGAUGUUGAAAAGGCUUUAAAUACACUUUAAUGAAGCAUAAUAGCAGCCUAUGGGCUCAGGAGGAGUUAUUGAUUUUUUUGGUGUAAAAUAUUAAAGUGUCUUUCAGGCUAUUUAUGUCCUUAGACCGCAGAGCUCAGGCUGUCACCUGAUGCCCUAACCAUACCAAGAUCUGGUUUUCUUUCUGGGAAAACAUCAAAUAUUUACCACUAGCAUUACCUCCCCUCCAUUUCUCCUGCCUGUCCAGCCUGUAAAUGGCAACGGCCACAGGUGGGCUGCCUUCAUGCACUGGCUGUGUCCCUUUCCCAGGAACCUGUUUGGCCUGUUCUGGACCAGGUGCCCAUGCUAGGUAGGGUCCUGCUGACCUGGUCUUUAGGACAGCCAUCUAGACCCCUCGGGCUCAAUGGCUCCUGUCAAAUGUUGUCUCGGCUGAAAUAAAAAUG
rnacentral:lncRNA from 1 species